rnacentral:ncRNA from 2 species
AACGAUCCCGGCGCCGACGGUCUCCGCCCAUCCGGGCGGGUGAAAAGGGAACACGGUGAAGGCGACCUGCCGAUUCCGUGGCUGCCCCCGCAACUGUGAGCGGCGAGCUUCGCGUCGAUCGUGCCACUGGGCGGCUCCUCCGGGACGUCGCGUGGGAAGGCGGACGCGAAGCGGCGACCCGCGAGCCAGGAGACCUGCCGUCGACCGUCACCCGAC